rnacentral:rRNA from 1 species
AGCAGCCGCCACGGUAAUACGAAGGGUGCAAGCGUUACUCGGAAUUACUGGGCGUAAAGCGUCCGUAGGUGGUGGUUUAAGUCCGUUGUGAAAGCCCUGGGCUCAACCUGGGAAUUGCAGUGGAUACUGGGUCACUAGAGUGUGGUAGAGGAUAGUGGAAUUUCCGGUGUAGCAGUGAAUGCGUAGAGAUCGGAAGGAACAUCUGUGGCGAAGGCGACUAUCUGGGCCAACACUGACACUGAGGCACGAAAGCGUGGGGAGCAAACAGGAUUAGAUACCCCAGUAGUCCCUGUCUCUUAUACA